CCUCACAAAAACAAGAACAUUUAUGCUGGACACAAAAAAAAACACAAAUAAUAAACUUAGACAACACAACUUAACCUAAAUAUAUUAUCUUAAUUAAAAAUUUGAAUAUUAUAUUAGUUCUUUCUCUUAAUUUAUAUGAAUUUUUCUGCCUUUUGCUUUUUCUUAAGAUUUUAUUUAAUGGAAUUUCUCCUUUUUUCUGUUGCAGGGUCUCCCUCCUGGUUCUGGUUUUUAUUUUUAUGCCAGUGGUUGUAUCAAACAAGCGGAUCACUCUUCCGCGACCUCGUCCACCAGGAUAAAGCAGAACCCGGAUAUCAUGGAUCAAGGGAAUUGGUGUUAUGGAGGCGGUUGCUGGGGCCUCAAUUUUGCGUUGUGGUGGUUGCUGUGGCCGUCAAAGAUGGGCUGACCUCUCCGCUUUUGUUCGCCGAGGAGGCCAGUUGAUACCCUCGAGAAAUUUAAAUUAUUUUGGCGAAACAAAUCAAUUACUAACGCCUUCACCAUAAAUAAUAAAAUAAAUAUCGAGGCUUUUAUUGCCUUAAAAAAAGUAA